rnacentral:rRNA from 1 species
UACAGAGGGGGCAAGCGUUGUUCGGAAUUACUGGGCGUAAAGGGCGCGUAGGCGGCCUGCUAAGUCGAACGUGAAAUCCCUGGGCUCAACCCAGGAACUGCGUCCGAUACUGGUUGGCUUGAAUCCGGGAGAGGGAUGUGGAAUUUCAGGUGUAGCGGUGAAAUGCGUAGAUAUCUGAAGGAACAUCAGUGGCGAAAGCGACUUCCUGGACCAAUACUGACGCUCAUGUGCGAAAGCGUGGGGAGCAAACAGG